rnacentral:rRNA from 1 species
GAUGAACGCUAGCGGCAGGCCUAACACAUGCAAGUCGAGGGGUAACUAGAGUGAUAGCAAUAUUACUUUGGCUAGACCGGCGCACGGGUGCGUAACACGUAUGCAACCUACCUUAUACUGGGGAAUAACUUCGAGAAAUCGGCGCUAAUACCCCAUAACAUUGCGAAGAGGCAUCUCUUUGCAAUUAAAGCUCCGGCGGUUUAAGAUGGGCAUGCGUCCAAUUAGCUAGUUGGUGAGGUAACGGCUCACCAAGGCUACGAUUGGUAGGGGUUCUGAGAGGAUGAUCCCCCACACUGGUACUGAGACACGGACCAGACUCCUACGGGAGGCAGCAGUGAGGAAUAUUGCGCAAUGGACGGAAGUCUGACGCAGCCAUGCCGCGUGCAGGAUGACGGCCCUAUGGGUUGUAAACUGCUUUUGUACGGGAAUAAACCCUUCUACGUGUAGGAGGCUGAAGGUACCGUAAGAAUAAGCACCGGCUAACUCCUUGCCAGCCGCCGCCGUAA